rnacentral:misc_RNA from 1 species
GAUGAAGAACGUAGCGAAAUGCGAUACUUGGUGUGAAUUGCAGAAUCCCGUGAACCAUCGAGUCUUUGAACGCAAGUUGCGCCUCAAGCCAUUAGGUUGAGGGCACGUCUGCCUGGGCGUCACAUAUCGUUGCCUGAUGCCAGUUUCCUCGUGAUGGGUGACUGUGCAGGGCGAAUGAUGGCUUCCCGUGAGCAUUGUUGCCUCAUGGUUGGUUGAAAAUUGAGUCCUUGGUAGGGAGCGCCGUGAUAGAUGGUGGUUGAGUGACGAACGAGACCCAAUCAUGUGAGACCCCUACCGAAUUUGGCCUUCAUGACCCACAUGCGUCUUUGGAACGCUCAUGAAGAGACCUCAGGUCAGGCGGGGCUACCCGCUGAGUUUAAGCAUAUCAAUAAGCGGAGGA